CAUGAAUGCCUCAAGCAUAUUUCAAAAAUCGAUUAAAUUUUUAAACGAAUAAUCGAUAAAUAAUUAUUAAAUAAUCAUGAAACUCCUUUCCAUUUUCGGUGUCAUCGCAAUGUUAGCAGUAGCUGUCAGCGGUCAAUGCCGAGGACGCGGUCUUCGAUGCAUCAGGGAUAGUCAGUGCUGUUCAGGUCUCUGUCGCCGAGCAAGUUGUGCCUAACAAGAUAGACACAGUCCUGUCCUGAAAAUUCCGAGCCUUCACCUAAUAUUUUAAAUACUUAAUCAAUAUCACCUCAACAUGUAACGAGCAUUUACUUUAAUUACUCCAAUUGUCUUGCAUCAAUAAAAUUCAAUAAAAUUCAAUAAAAUUCAAUAAAAUUCAA